rnacentral:rRNA from 1 species
GCUUACGGCCAUACCACCCUGAACAUGCCGAUCUCGUCCGAUCUCGGAAGCUAAGCAGGGUCGGGCCUGGUUAGUACUUGGAUGGGAGACGCCUGGGAAUACCAGGUGCUGUAAGCU